GAUGAAUGAUGGCGGAGGGGAGAAGAAAGGAAAGUCGAGGGAACAGACGAGGAGCUUGCUCCUCUGACGUUAGCGGCGGACGGGUGAGUAACACGUGGAUAACCUACCUAUAAGACUGGGAUAAAUUCGGGAAACCGGAGCUAAUACCGGAUAAUAUAUUGAACCGCAUGGUUCAAUAGUGAAAGACGGUUUUGCUGUCACUUAUAGAUGGAUCCGCGCCGCAUUAGCUAGUUGGUAAGGUAACGGCUGACCAAGGCAACGAUGCGUAGCCGACCUGAGAGGGUGCUCGGCCACACUGGAACUGAGACACGGUCCAGACUCCUACGGGAGGCAGCAGUAGGGAAUCUUCCGCAAUGGGCGAAAGCCUGACGGAGCAACGCCGCGUGAGUGAUGCAGGUCUUCGGAUCGUAACCCUCUUUUCUUCGGGAAGAACAAAUGUGUAAGUCACUCUGCACGUCUUGACGGUACCUAAUCAGAAAGCCCCGGCUCCCUACGUC
rnacentral:rRNA from 1 species